rnacentral:rRNA from 1 species
AUUGAACGCUGGCGGCAUGCUUUACACAUGCAAGUCGAACGGUAACAGGGUGCUUGCACCGCUGACGAGUGGCGAACGGGUGAGUAAUGCGUCGGAACGUGCCGAGUAGUGGGGGAUAACGCAGCGAAAGUUGUGCUAAUACCGCAUACGUACUGAGGUAGAAAGUGGGGGACCGUCGGGCCUCACGCUAUUCGAGCGGCCGACGUCUGAUUAGCUAGUAGGUGAGGUAAAGGCUCACCUAGGCGACGAUCAGUAGCGGGUCUGAGAGGAUGAUCCGCCACACUGGGACUGAGACACGGCCCAGACUCCUACGGGAGGCAGCAGUGGGGAAUUUUGGACAAUGGGCGAAAGCCUGAUCAGCCAUGCCGCGUGUCUGAAGAAGGCCUUCGGGUUGUAAAGGACUUUUGUCAGGGAGGAAAUCCCUAGUGCUAAUAACACUGGGGGAUGACAGUACCUGAAGAAUAAGCACCAGCUAACUACGUGCCAGCCGCCGCAGUAA